UUUAGAAGCUUGUGAUCAUAUGUUUCUUUAGGUCUCAUUCUCAGCUGUGUUGACAGCUAUGUGCAGCAAUGUUUCUUUACAGUGGAUAAGGACUUGUGCCAAUUCAAAGGCAGGCAGAGGCUUCCAGCCACAGGAUUCUCGGGCAUCCGUCUUUGCGGUUCUUGGAAAAAGUUGUUCUGUUAGCAUCUUUUUCCUCCGGGGUCACCCGAGCUCGGCAGGCUUGCCUCCGGUCCCUCUUUGGUCAUCUCGUUCAGCAUUCUCUCGGUCCUCGUGAGGACUUUCUUGUCUCAGAGAGUUUUCUCUCCCUGUCACGUCCCCUCGUCUCACGGGUGUCUGGGGGUAUUUGGUCCGGAGCUGCUCUGCCCUGCUGCCCAGCCCGGUUGUAGGUGUUUAAGGACAAGUCCCGGGCACUUGUAAUUGGAGACUGGUAGUAUGGCCUGUGGUUGGAGUCUAGGUGGUAUUAUGUUGACAGCAGGUGUCUGGAGCUGUGAAGUUACCCUGCAGCACUUUGACUUUUUUCCUAACUUUCUUUCAGAUGCAGAUGGUUUGACCUCGUGGCAGAGCAGCUGUCCCAGAUGAGGGGGUCCCCCUGAGAAGGAAGUAAAGCCGGAUAGCAGCGGGGAAGGCGAAGCAGGUGGAAGGCUGCCUCCUGAUGCUGUGCUGAGGCCCCCUCACUGACCUGCCAAGAGACCCGGUUUGCUUCUCUGGUGAGCCCCAGCAAAUAUUACUGGAGUCCGUGACGAAGCCUCGAC